UCUCAUAGAAUUCAAUUACCGGUCUCAACCCAUGAUCAAUAUGAGCUCGAAGCUUCCUUCGUA
rnacentral:tRNA from 1 species